GCCGGCGUAGCUCAACGGCAGAGCAGCGGUUUUGUAAACCGUCGGUUGGGGGUUCGACUCCUCUCGCCGGCU
rnacentral:tRNA from 1 species